AUUGAACGCUGGCGGCAGGCUUAACACAUGCAAGUCGAGCGAGCGGCGGACGUGUGAGUCAUGUCUGGGAAACUGCCUGAUGGCGGGGGAUAACUACUGGAAACGGUAGCUAAUACCGCAUCCCAUCAGAUGUGCCCAGAUGGGAUUAGCUAGUAGGUGGGGUAAAGGUUCACCUAGGCGACGAUCCCUAGCUGGUCUGAGAGGAUGACCAGCCACACUGGAACGGAGACACGGUCCAGACUCCUACGGGAGGCAGCAGGGGGGAAGAUUGGACAAUGGGCGAAAGCCGGAUGCAGCCAUGCCGCGUGUGUGAAGAAGGCCUUCGGGUUGUAAAGUACUUUCAGCGGGGAGGCGUUACCAGCAGAAGAAGCACCGGCUAACUCCGUGCCAGCAGCCGCGGUAAUUC
rnacentral:rRNA from 1 species